UGAACGCCUCUAAGUCGGAAGCCAUGCUAGGAGCGGGGUCAUCUGUCCCAAUGACCGUCACCCGACUACCAAUAGGCUGGAUUCUUUCCAGUCCAGGAGCAUAUCCGAUGGAUCCCUCGGCUCAGGUCACACGCCUGGGUCGGGGCCAUGCAUGACAAUUCCACUCGCUCAUUGGGGUAAAUCCUUUGCAGACCACUUAGCUGGAACGCGGUAUUGUAAGCGGUAGAGUGGCCUUGCUGCUACGAUCCGCUGAGAUUCAGCCGUGGUUCG
rnacentral:rRNA from 1 species